rnacentral:rRNA from 1 species
UACCAGCACCCCGAGUGGUCGGGACGUUUUAUUGGGCCUAAAGCAUCCGUAGCCGGUUCUACAAGUCUUCCGUUAAAUCCAACUGCUUAACAGGUGGGCUGCGGAAAAUACUAUAGAGCUAGGAGGCGGGAGAGGCAAGCGGUACUCGAUGGGUAGGGGUAAAAUCCGUUGAUCCAUUGAAGACCACCAGUGGCGAAGGCGGCUUGCCAGAACGCGCUCGACGGUGAGGGAUGAAAGCUGGGGG